rnacentral:lncRNA from 1 species
GGCUGAGGCAGAAGCAUCAUAAGUGCAAAGCCUGCCUGGAUUAGAGUUAGUUCAAGACCAGUCUGAGUGAUUUAGAAAAGUUAUGCCUCAAAAUAGAAAGUACAAGGGUCUGAGGGUCAGGGUGGAGCCCACAUUUAGAAUGUGCAAAGCCCCAGAUUUGAUCCCUAGUGCUGUUAAAACAAACAAGCAGCCAAGCAAAAUAAGGACUGAACCCCUACUCUGUGGCCUGCACCUCUUGGCUCGGCUUUACUUUCUGGCUCAAGAUGACAACCAAUCCUCAGAAACACAUUCACCCUUCCCCCACACUGCCGCUGAUGCCUGUAAAUGGGUGGCCAGAGUCUGGACUGUUCCUAGUGCUGAUCUUCUCCUGGAGCAGUGGAGACCUGAAGGCUCACAUCCACCUUCUCUCAGUCAUUCAGACAUCUCACACCCAAGUGCACAGCUCAAAGAAGAGCCUUGUAAAAAGCAGCUUUUCUAAUGGGUCCAGGACCAGGAACUGAAAUUCAUCUCAGGACAUACAAAACCUCCUUUUCCUUCUAGGUUCUUCUGGCCCUGUUAAUUCCUCAAAGGUACGCACUGUACACUGGUUUCAUGUGCAAGCUCUUGGCCCAGAGAGAGAAAAUGUGCCUUAGUUCCAUGCUGUAGAGACACGAAGAGUGUUCUACCACAUUCCCAUGGAAAUGGCCAGUGCCAUAAUGAGAAAAUGGGAAAAGCAGGGAUCGAUGGAGGAACUAAAGGCGUGGCCCAGGCACAUCAGAAAAUUUAAAACCUUGGAAGCGCACAAAGGAAGAAAAUACUUUUUAGAGACCCAGCAUCAAGAAUUCCCUUUGACUUCUCAUCUCAGACCAGGUGAAGACAGUGAUGACGGUCCUAACCAGGAACAGAAGAGAGGACAUGCCAGGCAUGGUGGGCACAGCUGCCGCAGCCGGCAGGCAAAGACAAGUCUUCUCUUUUCUAGGACAUCACAUAAGAAGAGUUGGGCGGAUGAUUCUGAGCUUAGCAUCUUCUGUGUAAUGCAGCCAAGAAUCAGCCAAGCUGUGCUCAAUACCAGCUCCUCUCUUACUGUUGGGAAGUGUUCUGUUGUCAGCUGCACUGAAUGCUUUUAUCCAUCCAUCUUCUGUACAAUUUGGGGGUUGUUUCUGGUCUGUGGCCACAGUAGAAAUUUUUAGAAACCCCUUUUCAGGAACCAAUAGAAUACAAGAUCCAAUCCAGUUAACAAUUUAGAAGGUUUAGACUUCUUUAGCCAGCCCCACCCUGUUGGUGUGUAUGGAUUACUCAUGCUUUGCAAGGGCAUGCAGGGCAUUUCCUAAAAAUAGACUACACCCUAAGCUCUAAAUAACGCAAGAACAAGCCCA